rnacentral:rRNA from 1 species
UACGAAGGGGGCUAGCGUUGCUCGGAAUAAUUGGGAGUAAAGAGUACGUAGGCGGAUUUUUAAGUAAGGGGUGAAAUCCUGGAGCUCAACUCCAGAACUGCCUCUGAUACUGGGAAUCUUGAGUCCGGGAGAGGUGAGUGGAACUGCGAGUGUAGAGGUGAAAUUCGUAGAUAUUCGCAAGAACACCAGUGGCGAAGGCGGCUCACUGGCCCGGUACUGACGCUGAGGUGCGAAAGCGUGGGGAGCAAACAGG